rnacentral:tRNA from 1 species
GGAGAGCUGUCCGAGUGGUCGAAGGAGCCUGACUCGAAAUCAGGUGUACCGGCAACGGUACCGGGGGUUCGAAUCCCUCGCUCUCCGCCA